rnacentral:rRNA from 1 species
AAUAGAUACCCGGGUAGUCCACGCCGUAAACGUUGGGCGCUAGAUGUGGGGACCUUUCCACGGUUUCCGUGUCGUAGCUAACGCAUUAAGCGCCCCGCCUGGGGAGUACGGCCGCAAGGCUAAACUCAAAGGGAAUUGACGGGGCCGCACAAGCGGCGGAGCAUGCGGAUUAAUUCGAUGCAACGCGAAGAACCUUACCAAGGCUUGACAUACACGAGAACGGGCCAGAAAUGGUCAACUCUUUGGACACUCGUGAACAGGUGGUGCAUGGUUGUCGUCAGCUCGUGUCGUGAGAUGUUGGGUUAAGUCCCGCAACGAGCGCAACCCUCGUCGCAUGUUGCCAGCACGUUAUGGUGGGGACUCAUGUGAGACUGCCGGGGUCAACUCGGAGGAAGGUGGGGAUGACGUCAAAUCAUCAUGCCCCUUAUGUCUUGGGCUUCACGCAUGCUACAAUGGCCGGUACAAAGGGCUGCGAUGUCGUAAGGCGGAGCGAAUCCCAAAAAGCCGGUCUCAGUUCGGAUUGAGGUCUACAACUCGA